rnacentral:sRNA from 1 species
UGAUGCCAGGGUCCCAAGGUCUGAGCCCACAUGAGCUUGCUCUAUAGUGGGCUCAGACCUUGGGAUCCGCCCCGAUAUGAGCAUAAAAGUGGGAUGUAUAUCCCACGAUAUGCGAAUAGCGGGUAGGAUUGUGGGUUGCCGAGUGCCAGUGGCACUCGUUUGGCAACG